AUUAGAACGCUGGCGGCAUGCCUUACACAUGCAAGUCGAACGGCAGCGGACCUUCGGGUGCCGGCGAGUGGCGAACGGGUGAGUAAUAUAUCGGAACGUACCUUUCAGUGGGGGAUAACGUAGCGAAAGUUACGCUAAUACCGCAUAUUCUGUGAGCAGGAAAGCAGGGGAUCGCAAGACCUUGCGCUGAUUGAGCGGCCGAUAUCAGAUUAGCUAGUUGGUGAGGUAAAGGCUCACCAAGGCGACGAUCUGUAGCGGGUCUGAGAGGAUGAUCCGCCACACUGGAACUGAGACACGGUCCAGACUCCUACGGGAGGCAGCAGUGGGGAAUUUUGGACAAUGGGCGCAAGCCUGAUCCAGCCAUGCCGCGUGAGUGAAGAAGGCC
rnacentral:rRNA from 1 species